CCAGUUGUGAUUCCACCCAAUGGAAAGAGGGAUCUAUAGACCAUCUGCAAUUGCGGGGUGCCAUCUCUCUUGAUCCUACAUCGACAAAAAACGAUAUUUGUUUGUUGUAGCAGUCAACAACUUUUUAGCUGUAUUAUGAUACUUUGUUGAGCUGUUUUGGAUGUAAAGCCAGAGCUUGGGGACAUCAACAAAUCCGUGAGCGCUGACGAGUUUAGAUACGGACACAUCAACGUAAAGACAGGGGACACAUCCUCGUUUUAUAAUGGUUAAGAAUUAAAAAAUAAAAUCACACAUUAAGACAUGAAAGGCAACAGAAGCACUUGCCUGACCUUAAGAGUCAAAAAUCGGAAAUAACCAGGGAAAAAAAAAGCCAGAAAACCCUUAUUAGUAUUUUGAUGUAAAAGCUUUAUACUUACGCGGUUAUUUCCUAAAUUUUCGGUACGGUUUGAGUCCUUAUUUUUCUAACAGAAAGGCCUAAAAGAUAAAAGAACACUCAUGAGGUGGUGGUGAGAAACGGAGUAUUUUACCAAUAAUUUUACUUGCAGUAGUAUAACCAUGUAAAUGCUGAUUCUGUUGUUAACUUGGUGCCUUUUUAUAUUUUCCGUUGCAGGGUAAAUUGAUAAUUUUAAUAAAUUAACUUUCCUAAUCGAAACGACAAGUUCAAAAAACAACAACAUUUUCUCUCAGAAGGGAGACCGGAAAGAUUCACUAACACAAAAAGAUAAUAAAGCAUACCUUGACCCGUCUUUAUUAAGGUGUAUACAGUUUCGUUUUCCUGGGAAAAAUUCUUGGAUUAACUAUGAAUCUUUCUUACAGUUUUGGAUUGUUUACAAUCGUAAAAUAUUCCGAGAAUUUGUCGGUUGUCUCUUGUUAUUUAAGGAACAUAAUCUCGAGUUCUUCUGUUUUCUUUUAUAGCUUGCAACCCAAUGUUUGUGUCUUUGGAAUGAUAAAGAUAAAAGGGGAUAAUUAAAAGUAAUUCUCAUAGUAAUAAAUAUUACUGCCAUUAGCAUAGGCGUAUUGAUUUGAUGUAGGAAUGUGAAAUGAAAAUACCAAGAUCUCCGACUCACAGCUCCUGCGUUGGAGACCAGUAUCUCUACUGCAGAAUCCUGCCAAUCCUACUUUUAUGUAUGAAAACAUACUAUUUCUAUUAGUACGCGAAAUUUUAUCGUUAUAAAAUACAUAUUAACUUUGAAAUGCGUCA